AGAGUUUGAUCCUGGCUCAGGAUGCCCUUUGGCGGCGUGCUUAACACAUGCAAGUCGAACGAAGCGCCUGACUAUGAGACUUCGGUUGAAUAAGAGGGAUGACUUAGUGGCGGACGGGUGAGUAACGCGUGGGUAACCUGCCUCAUGCAGGGGGACAACAGUUGGAAACGACUGCUAAUACCGCAUAUGACCACAGCAUCGCAUGAUGCAGCGGUGAAAGAUUUAUCGGCAUGAGAUGGACCCGCGUCUGAUUAACUGGUUGGUGAGGUAACGGCCCACCAAGGUUGCGAUCAGUAGCCGACCUGAGAGGGUGAUCGGCCACAUUGGGACUGAGACACGGCCCAAACUCCUACGGGAGGCAGCAGUGGGGAAUAUUGGACAAUGGGGGGAACCCUGAUCCAGCGACGCCGCGUGAGUGAAGAAGUAUUUCGGUAUGUAAAGCUCUUUAAGCAGGGAAGAAAAUGACGGUACCUGCAGAAUAAGCCCCGGCUAACUACGUGCCAGCAGCCGCGGUAAUACGUAGGGGGCAAGCGUUAUCCGGAUUUACUGGGUGUAAAGGGAGCGUAGACGGCGAUGUAAGUCUGAAGUGAAAGCCCGUGGCUCAACUGCGGGACUGCUUUGGAAACUACAUGGCUAGAGUGUCGGAGAGGUGAGUGGAAUUCCCAGUGUAGCGGUGAAAUGCGUAGAUAUUGGGAGGAACACCAGAGGCGAAGGCGGCUCACUGGACGAUUACUGACGUUGAGGCUCGAAAGCGUGGGGAGCAAACAGGAUUAGAUACCCUGGUAGUCCACGCCCUAAACGA
rnacentral:rRNA from 1 species